UACACCCGUGUUUAGUGCAUAUGAAGAAAGCUGCAGCUGUUGCCGCGUGUUGGAGCUGCUGCCAACAUGGAGUUUAAUUGAAACAAUGUGGGCUGCUGCCGCCUUACAUUGGGUGCAUGGGCUGACACCAAACAUUAGUGAUACGCAGCGUUUUGAGAGCAGCUGCCUUAGGUGAUAUUUACUUUGACAAUUCAUUUGGCAGAGAAGAAGGCAUUCUCUCGAACAUUUCAGAAGAAAGAAAACCUUUAGGGUUAGGGCAGAGCGAGAGCUGAAGAGAGCUGACUUGUGCGAACCGGAGAUGGAAGAUGCUGACCGUGAAGAGGAUCAAACGGCUGGAAGAGAAGAAGGGGUGAUCGUCCGUUGAGAAGUGAAGCGCGAAUCAUCCAAGUUGCCAAGGGGAUGUUAAGAAACUGCUUGCAAACAAAACUGGUUUGCAGCCUGAAGAGCAGCAACUCUUCUUCCGAGGAGAAGAAAAGUACAAUGAAGAGACUUUGUACGUAGAAGGUGUGCUGGUCAAAUCAAAUAUUUUUCUUUUGGAUAAUACUGCUAGUGAAGAGUGGAAAAUUGAGGAAAUUAGAAAACAUAAUGACAUGUUAAAGGCUUUUGAAGCUGUUGCUGAAGUCAGAGCAGAGGUGGACGAGCUUGCUUAGAGGGUAUUUGUAUUGAGAGUCGCUGCAGAUGGAGGGACCAGGGUUUCUGACAAAGAGUUUUCGACGUGCACAGAGUUGCUUAUGAGCAAGGAAUCGGCAUAUUGUUCAGUACAAGACUGCUUAUUAUUCGUUUCACCAGUAAGUAUUAUUAUCCUUUUUUUGGUAUAACCUCGCUAUUUUUGGUUUCCUCUUUGCCCUUUUCUUAGAAACACUGUUGCCAAAUAGCUAUGAGUUGCUCAGUAUUUUACACUGCUAGAAUCUUUAAUAAACGUCUUUCUUCCUCUUGCUAAAAAUCCCUACGCAUGCGUAAUGAUACAUCAAAGGGAGAAAGAGUGUUUAAAUGGCUUUAGCCAACUGAUCCAAAUUAAUCACGAAGAAAGAAAAAUACAAUAAAGACAGAAAAAAUCCCAAGUCGGGGAUGUGCCCCAUCUUCCAAAAGGCAGAGCUGGAGAGAGGAGCUUUUUCGGGGCGUCAAAUUGCUUUAUCACGGCCCUUUUUGUUCCCAUUCCAUUGAUCACAUCUCAUUACCACAGCCUGACUGAAAACUCUGGCCUCACUCAGCUCCAACACCAACCAUCAUUCCACCCUUUUACGGGAACCAUCUUUCACCUACAACAGAAAAAGAAAGCCAGCCACAGGGAAGAGGAAACCGUCUGAGGCGAACAAGAACUCCAAGAAAGCUUGCUUUACCAUUAAGAAAGGUGCAAGUAGGAAAGAGAAGAAGGAAAAAUGCAAAAGAGAUUGGAAAAGGAAAAAUAUUAUAACUAUGGUUGUAUACGCGAUUACAAAAUUAUGUGUAACUCUGUUUUCCAUACACUUUGUUGCGUGUAUUUUUCAUUUUCUGGCUAAAAAUGAUGAUCAAAAAUCCAAAUGGUCAAGUCUAGUCUCUUCUGAUUUCUUCCACAAAGAAUUUCUAUUGACCUCCCGCUGGAUCCUCUUCAAUCGGGUGAUUACGGCCUGAAGGAUCGAAAAAUGUGGCUUUUUAGCCCUAUAUCGACUUUCAUUCCCACUUGAAAGUCAUUGUUAGGUAAAGAAUCUCUAGCAGACGCUAUCAAUGAAUCUUCUUAGUCGAUCGGACAUUCAAAACAACAUCUACCGGAGUUACGUAACGUCACUAUAUUGGUCAACAAUGACUUUUACGUCAGUUGGGUGUGGUGAGUUAUAUCUAGUAAGGUGUUUUGCAUAUUUUAUAUGCUCUAUAGUAUUGGACUAUUAAUGUACCUAACAGAAAAUAUGAUCAAAUUAAUGGUUCUGAUCUAGAAAAAAAGGGAGAAAAUCUAUUACUUGGCCCACCAUCUACCAGAUCUAUUACUGGGCAAGUUAGCAAAGCAAGAAAAUCUUUAGACUUGAGUGAGCAUAACUUACAAAUGGAGCAACUCAUUGAAUAGUUGACAAAGACUAGCACCUCAAUUAUAAGAGCCGAAAGAGACCUGAAUUUGAGCAACAAUUCAAUACCAUGUCGAGAGUGUAUCCAACUAGGUCAACCAUCUCUACUGUGCCUACGUAGGAUAAUUUCAUUAGGGUGGUGUUAGAACCACAAGAAAAUGUUAAUCCAAUUCAAGAGUUGAAGGACAUUUCAAGCAAGUGGUCUUGGAACUUUUGUCUCACUAUUGGUGAGAAAUUUUACAUAGACAGACAAGAUGUCUCUCAAAUCUUUAUAAGUAAUGAGAUGUUAAACAUUUUAAUCAUUCUGUUAUGGAUACUGUGAGUAGUAUACUUUAAAUUAUUUCAUAUCUAUUUUUCAGUUUAAUUUUAUGAUAACUACCAUUGCCACAAAUGUUUAUAUGCCAAUGUAGGUAUGUAAAUCAAGUGAUUAUGUACAUCGGGAAGGCUGAAAUCUGUGGUUUUCUUGAACCCCAAUCAGUUCAAAAUCGUGGGAAUAAAGAGAUAGAACGUGAGACUCACAUUUGAGAUAACAUUAAAUCAUCCCAAAAAAAGAUUUAUAUGGCGUCUUAUUAUGAAAUGUAAGUAAAACUCACAAUUUUGUUUUAGUCUUAAACUAACAUCACUAAUAAAUUCAUAUAUGUUAGAUGUCAUUGGCAAUAAAUGCUAAUUUGUCUCAGUGAUAAUAUUGUAGUGUGGUUUUGUUUAUUACAUAGAAAGCCAAGUGCAGACUUGAAAACUAUUGUACAAAGGUAUGACAUAAUUCCAAUGUGCAUUGUUAUUUUAUUUCAUAUAAUGUAUUAAUCACUAAUGACCUUUCUUUUUAGAGCGAUUAUGUCCCCUUCUUCAUUGUGCUGGAUUUACCCUAAGGUAUUUAAUACUUAAAUCAAACUAUUCAAAUAUUUAUGUUUUACUUUUCAAAUAUCAUAUUUCAGUGCAAUAGGCAAAAUGGAAAUUAUGAAUGUGGUUAUUAUGUCAUGCAUCGGAUAUGGACAAUAGCCCGUUAUGAUAUUGUUGACACUUGGGGAGAGGUAUUAAGUUAAUUUAAAUAGAUAUGUUAAAUCAAUUACUAUGUUUGAUUAUGCUAUUAUUAAAAGUUGUUUCUUUUGUAUUUCAGAUAUUCAAAGACAAAAACAAAUUGGACACUAGCAUAAUUGAAGAAAUGGGUCAAAUUCUUAUUAAAACUUGUCUUGGAUGAUUAUUAAGUACUUUGUUUUAGUUUAUGUGGAAUUUAGACCUCUUUUAGUUGUUUAGCAUUGUGUUUAGUGUUAACAGAAAAAGAUGGAUUUACCUGUAUCAAAAUGACGAUGACAAGUGAACACUUCAUUGCUUGUUUUGUUAACAGCGAGUUAUUAUUAGUAUGACAAUGAUGUGUUUCUUCUGUUUUUAAAAUAGCUUGGUUUUGUGAUUCAA